UGGGGAAUCUUGCUCAAUGGGGGAAACCCUGAAGCAGCAAUGCCGCGUGGAGGACGAAGGUCUUCGGAUUGUAAACUCCUUUUGUCGGUGACAAAUGGCCCCGUGAAGAGCGGGGUUUGAUGGUAACCGGCGAAUAAGCCACGGCUAACUUCGUGCCAGCAGCCGCGGUAAGACGAAGGUGGCGAGCGUUACUCGGAUUUACUAGGCGUAAAGCGUGGGCAGGUGGCUUGACAAGUCUCUUGUGAAAGCC
rnacentral:rRNA from 1 species